ACGGGAGGCAGCAGUGAGGAAUAUUGGUCAAUGGACGAGAGUCUGAACCAGCCAAGUAGCGUGCAGGAUGACGGCCCUAUGGGUUGUAAACUGCUUUUAUAAGGGAAUAAAGUGAGUCUCGUGAGACUUUUUGCAUGUACCUUAUGAAUAAGGACCGGCUAAUUCCGUGCCAGCAGCCGCGGUAAUACGGAAGGUCCGGGCGUUAUCCGGAUUUAUUGGGUUUAAAGGGAGCGUAGGCCGGAGAUUAAGCGUGUUGUGAAAUGUAGAUGCUCAACAUCUGCACUGCAGCGCGAACUGGUUUCCUUGAGUACGCACAAAGUGGGCGGAAUUCGUGGUGUAGCGGUGAAAUGCUUAGAUAUCACGAAGAACUCCGAUUGCGAAGGCAGCUCACUGGAGCGCAACUGACGCUGAAGCUCGAAAGUGCGGGUAUCGAACAGGAUUAGAUACCCUGGUAGUCCGCACGGUAAACGAUGGAUGCCCGCUGUUGGUCUGAAUAGGUCAGCGGCCAAGCGAAAGCAUUAAGCAUCCCACCUGGGGAGUACGCCGGCAACGGCGCAACUCAAAUGAAUUGACGGA
rnacentral:rRNA from 1 species